rnacentral:misc_RNA from 1 species
AACACAUCUCUCAUACACCGGCUAACCACGUGCCAGCAGCCGCGGUAAUACGUAGGGAACUGUGGAAAGAAAGAUGUGAAAUCCCAGAGCUUAACUUUGGAACUGCAUUUUUAACUACCGAGCUAGAGUGUGUCAGAGGGAGGUGGAAUUCCGCGUGUAGCAGUGAAAUGCGUAGAUAUGUGGAGGAACACCGAUGGCGAAGGCAGCCUCCUGGGAUAAACACUUCGACGCUCAUGCACGAAAAGCGUGGGGAGCAAACAGGAUUAGAUACCCUGGUAGUCCACGCCCUAAACGAUGUCAACUAGCUGUUGGGGCCUUCGGGCCUGGUAGCGCAGCUAACGCGUGAAGUUGACCGCCUGGGGAGAGUACGGUCGCAAGAUUAAAACUCAAAGGAAUUGACGGGGACCCGCACAAGCGGUGGAUGAUGUGGAUUAAUUCGAUGCAACGCGAAAACCUUUACCUACCCUUGACAUGUCUGAAUCCCUGAAGAGAUUUGGGAGUGCUCGCAAGAGAAUACAUCAGCUCGUGUCGUGAGAUGUUGGGUUAAGUCCUGCAACGAGCGGCAACCUUGGCCACGGUUGCUACGAAAGGGCACUCUAAUGAGACUGCCGGUGACAAACCGGAGGAAGGUGGGGACGACGUCAAGUCCUCAUGGCCCUUAUGGGUAGGAUUCGGCCACGUCAUACAAUGGUCGGGACAGAGGGUCGCCAACCCGCGAGGGGGAGCCAAUCCCAGAAACCCGAUCGUAGUCCGGAUCGCAGUCUGCAACCUGACCGCGGAAGUCGGGAAUCGCUAGUAAUCGCGGAUCAGCAUGUCGCGGUGAAUACGUUCCCGGGUCUUGUACACACCGCCCGUCACACCAUGGGAGUGGGUUUUAACAGAAGUAGUUAGCCUAACCGUAAGGAGGGCGAUUACCACGGUAGGAUUCAUGACUGGGUGAAGUCGUAACAAGGUAG